GAUCUGGAAAAGGUGGUUGUGGGUUAUUUCCAGUUCCCGUUCCCAUUACACUGUUUCAUGUUCUAUCCAGUUCCCUGUUCAGUUCUCGUUUAAAUUACAAAUAGAUUUACAAAUACACGGUGACGUGGGAUAGAUUUACAAAUACUGCAAGUAAUACAG